UGGGUUAGUGGCGGACGGUGAGUAACGCGUGGUAACCUGCCUUACACAGGGGGAUAACACUUAGAAAUAGGUGCUAAAACCGCAUAAGCGCACAGCUUCGCAUGAAGCGGUGUGAAAAACUCCGGUGGUGUAAGAUGGACCCGCGUCUGAUUAGCUUGUUGGCGGGGUAACGGCCCACCAAGGCGACGAUCAGUAGCCGGCCUGAGAGGGCGGACGGCCACAUUGGGACUGAGACACGGCCCAGACUCCUACGGAAGGCAGCAG
rnacentral:rRNA from 1 species